AGUGAACGCUGGCGGUAGGCCUAACACAUGCAAGUCGAACGGCAGCACAGUAAGAGCUUGCUCUUACGGGUGGCGAGUGGCGGACGGGUGAGGAAUACAUCGGAAUCUACUUUUUCGUGGGGGAUAACGUAGGGAAACUUACGCUGAUACCGCAUACGACCUACGGGUGAAAGCAGGGGAUCUUCGGACCUUGCGCGAUUGAAUGAGCCGAUGUCGGAUUAGCUAGUUGGCGGGGUAAAGGCCCACCAAGGCGACGAUCCGUAGCUGGUCUGAGAGGAUAAUCAGCCACACUGGAACUGAGACACGGUCCAGACUCCUACGGGAGGCAGCAGUGGGGAAUAUUGGUCAAUGGGCGCAAGCCUGAUCCAGCCAUACCGCGUGGGUGAAGAAGGCCUUCGGGUUGUAAAGCCCUUUUGUUGGGAAAGAAAAGCAGCAGGUUAAUACCCCGCUGUUCUGACGGUACCCAAAGAAUAAGCACCGGCUAACUUCGUG
rnacentral:rRNA from 1 species